rnacentral:rRNA from 1 species
ACGAACGCUGGCGGCGUGCUUAACACAUGCAAGUCGAACGGAAAGGCCCUGCUUGCAGGGUCCUCGAGUGGCGAACGGGUGAGUAACACGUGGGUGAUCUGCCCUGCACUUCGGGAUAAGCUUGGGAAACUGGGUCUAAUACCGGAUAGGAGCCAUCUUUAGUGUGGUGGUUGGAAAGUUUUUUCGGUGUAGGAUGAGCUCGCGGCCUAUCAGCUUGUUGGUGGGGUAAUGGCCUACCAAGGCGGCGACGGGUAGCCGGCCUGAGAGGGUGUACGGCCACAUUGGGACUGAGAUACGGCCCAGACUCCUACGGGAGGCAGCAGUGGGGAAUAUUGCACAAUGGGCGCAAGCCUGAUGCAGCGACGCCGCGUGGGGGAUGAAGGCCUUCGGGUUGUAAACUCCUUUCGCUAGGGACGAAGCUUUUUUGUGACGGUACCUAGAUAAGAAGCACCGGCUAACUACGUG